rnacentral:rRNA from 1 species
UGGGGAAUUUUGGACAAUGGGCGAAGCCUGAUCCAGCAAUGCCGCGUGUGAAGAAGGCCUUCGGGUUGUAAAGCACUUUUGUCCGGAAAGAAAUCCUUGGCUCUAAUACAGUCGGGGGAUGACGGUACCGGAAGAAUAAGCACCGGCUAACUACGUGCCAGCAGCCGCGGUAAUACGUAGGGUGCAAGCGUUAAUCGGAAUUACUGGGCGUAAAGCGUGCGCAGGCGGUUUGCUAAGACCGAUGUGAAAUCCCCGGGGCUCAACCUGGGAACUGCAUUGGUGACUGGGCAGGCUAGAGUAUGGCAGAGGGGGGUAGAAUUCCACGUGUAGCAGUGAAAUGCGUAGAGAUGUGGAGGAAUACCGAUGGCGAAGGCAGCCCCUGGGCCAAUACUGACGCUCAUGCACGAAAAGCGUGGGGAGCAAAACAGGAUUAGAUACCCUGGUAGUCCACGCCCUAAAACGAUGUCAACUAGUUGUU